GAACGCGAAAGCCCCGCAAGGGGUAAGUAGAGUGGCAAACGGGUGAGUAACACGUGGGUGACCUGCCUUAGAGUGGGGGAUAGCGUCCCGAAAGGGACGCUAAUACCGCAUAACAUCCUGCCUUUGAAGAGGUGGAGAUCAAAGCCGGGGACCGCAAGGCCUGGCGCUUAAAGAGGGGCCCGCGCCUGAUUAGCUAGUUGGUGGGGUAAUGGCUCACCAAGGCAACGAUCAGUAUCCGGCCUGAGAGGGCGGACGGACACACUGGGACUGAGACACGGCCCAGACUCCUACGGGAGGCAGCAGUGGGGAAUUGUUCGCAAUGGGCGCAAGCCUGACGACGCAACGCCGCGUGGAGGAUGAAGACCUUCGGGUCGUAAACUCCUUUCGAUCGAGACGAACAGCCAUCGGGUGAAUAGCCUGGAGGUUUGACGGUACCGAGAGAAG
rnacentral:rRNA from 1 species